ensembl:snRNA U6 U6 spliceosomal RNA
GUGCUUGCUUCGGCAGCACGUAUACUAAAAUUGGAAUGAUAGAGAGAUAAGCAUGGGCCCUGCGCAAGGAUGACAUGAAAACUUGUGAAGCAUUCUGUUAUUUU